rnacentral:rRNA from 1 species
UACGGAGGGUGCGAGCGUUGUCCGGAAUCAUUGGGCGUAAAGCGCGUGUAGGCGGCCCGGUAAGUCCGCUGUGAAAGUCGGGGGCUCAACCCUCGGAUGCCGGUGGAUACUGUCGGGCUAGAGUACGGAAGAGGCGAGUGGAAUUCCUGGUGUAGCGGUGAAAUGCGCAGAUAUCAGGAGGAACACCAAUUGCGAAGGCAGCUCGCUGGGACGUUACUGACGCUGAGACGCGAAAGCGUGGGGAGCAAACAGG